CAGGACGAACGCUGGCGGCGUGCCUAACACAUGCAAGUCGAACGGGACUUAAUGGAAUGCGACUUCGGUCAAAGGGAAGUUAAGGUUUAGUGGCGAACGGGUGAGUAACGCGUGAGGAACCUGCCUUUCAGUGGGGGACAACAGUUGGAAACGACUGCUAAUACCGCAUGAUAGAACUACCAAAGAUUUAUCGCUGAGAGAUGGGCUCGCGUCCAAUUAGCUAGAUGGUGAGGUAACGGCUCACCAUGGCGACGAUUGGUAGCCGGACUGAGAGGUUGAACGGCCACAUUGGGACUGAGACACGGCCCAGACUCCUACGGGAGGCAGCAGUGGGGAAUAUUGGGCAAUGGGGGAAACCCUGACCCAGCAACGCCGCGUGAAGGAAGAAGGCCUUCGGGUUGUAAACUUCUUUUACCAGGGACGAAGAACGUGACGGUACCUGGAGAAAAAGCAACGGCUAACUACGUG
rnacentral:rRNA from 1 species